rnacentral:rRNA from 1 species
UACAGAGGGUGCAAGCGUUAAUCGGAAUUACUGGGCGUAAAGCGCGCGUAGGUGGCUAAGUAAGAUGGGUGUGAAAUCCCCGGGCUCAACCUGGGAACUGCUUUCAUAACUGCUUGGCUAGAGUACGGUAGAGGGUAGUGGAAUUUCCUGUGUAGCGGUGAAAUGCGUAGAUAUAGGAAGGAACACCAGUGGCGAAGGCGACUACCUGGACUGAUACUGACACUGAGGUGCGAAAGCGUGGGGAGCAAACAGG